rnacentral:rRNA from 1 species
GACGAACGCUGGCGGCGUGCCUAAUACAUGCAAGUCGAGCGAAUGACGAGAAGCUUGCUUCUCUGAUUUAGCGGCGGACGGGUGAGUAACACGUGGGCAACCUGCCCUACAGAUUGGGAUAACUCAGGGAAACCUGGGCUAAUACCGGAUAAUCCUUCGAAUCACAUGUUUUGAAGUUGAACGGCGCUUCGGCGUCACUGUCUGAUGGGCCCGCGUGGCAGUAGCUAGCUGGUGGGUGAACGGCCUACGAAGGCAACGAUGCAUAGCCGACCCGGGAGGGUGAUCGGCCACAUUGGGACUGAGACACGGCCCAAACUCCUACGGGAGGCAGCAGUAGGGAAUCUUCCACAAUGGACGAAAGUCUGAUGGAGCAACGCCGCGUGAGUGAUGAAGGUUUUCGGAUCGUAAAACUCUGUUGUAAGGGAAGAACAAGUACGUUAGGAAAUGAACGUACCUUGACGGUACCUUAUUAGAAAGCCACGGCUAACUACGUGCCAGCCGCCGCGGUAA